UAUGUGAUCGUCUCUCGCAUAUCAAUAAGCGGAGGAAAAGAAACUAACAAGGAUUCCCCUAGUAACGGCGAGUGAAGCGGGAAGAGCUCAAAUUUGAAAUCUUAAAGGGUUUCCCUUUACGAAUUGUAGUUUAAAGAAGUGUUUUCUGUUGAGGUUUUGGUAAAAGUUCUUUGGAAUAGGACAUCAUAGAGGGUGAGAAUCCCGUAUUUGACCUUUACUUUCAACUUUGUGAUACACUUUCAAAGGAGUCGGAUUGUUUGGGAAUGCAGUCCAAAAUGGGUGGUAAAUUUCAUCUAAAGCUAAAUAUUGGCGAGAGACCGAUAGCGAACAAGUACCGUGAGGGAAAGAUGAAAAGAACUUUGAAAAGGAGAGUUAAACAGUACGUGAAAUUGUCAAAAGGGAAGCGUUUGACACCAGUGUUGUUUUUCUGAAAAUCAAUUAAAGAACUGUUUAUGCUAAGUUGUUUAGACUUUAUCAGCUAUCUGUUUAGUUUUGAGCUUUUCUUUAAUGCACUUUUCAGUUAACAAGUCAACAUCAAUUUCUUUUGCUGUAAAAAAGCUUGAGGAAGGUGGCUUGAGAUUCGUCUUAAGUGUUUAUAGCCUCUUGCCUAUGCAGUCGGAGAGAUUGAGGUCUGCAGCGUAGAUCCUUCGGGGCUAAAUGCAUUUGUGCUAAGUUAUAGCAUUUUAUAGACAACUUGUUGACUAUGAUUUGUCUUGUAGCUUACUCGCUUAUGUUAUUUUACCUACGCUUAGGAUGUUGAAGACUCUACAGAGAUA
rnacentral:rRNA from 1 species